UACGGAGGGGGCUAGCGUUGUUCGGAAUUACUGGGCGUAAAGCGCACGUAGGCGGCUUUGUAAGUCAGAGGUGAAAUCCCGAGGCUCAACCUCGGAACUGCCUUUGAUACUGGGGAUCUCGAGUCCGGGAGAGGUGAGUGGAACUGCGAGUGUAGAGGUGAAAUUCGUAGAUAUUCGCAAGAACACCAGUGGCGAAGGCGGCUCACUGGCCCGGAACUGACGCUGAGAUGCGAAAGCGUGGGGAGCAAACAGG
rnacentral:rRNA from 1 species